UCCGAGUUAACCCCGGCAGUCUCCCGCGAGUCCCUAACACUACUUGCUGGCAACACGGGAUAAGGGUUGCGCUCGUUGCGGGACUUAACCCAACACCUCACGGCACGAGCUGACGACAGCCAUGCAGCACCUAGUUUCGCGCCCUUGCGGGAAGCUCCCUUUCAGGAGCGGUCGCUAACUUUCAAGCCCUGGUAAGGUUCCUCGCGUAUCAUCGAAUUAAACCACAUGCUCCUCCGCUUGCGCGGGCCCCCGUCAAUUCCUUUGAGUUUCACCGUUGCCGGCGUACUCCCCAGGUGGAUUACUUAUCGCUUUCGCUAAGCCACUAAAUGUUACCAUCUAGCAGCGAGUAAUCAUCGUUUACAGUGUGGACUAC
rnacentral:misc_RNA from 1 species